rnacentral:pre_miRNA from 1 species
UUAAAGUUAGAGAGUGUUUUGCUGAAGUGGUCGCUUUUGAUAAUUAUAGAUAGUUUAAAACUCCUUAAUGUUUAUCAAAAGCGACCACUUCAGUAACACACUCUCUAACUUCAAUUG